UACGUAGGGAGCGAGCGUUGUCCGGAUUUAUUGGGCGUAAAGAGCUCGUAGGCGGGUUUGGCAAGUCGGAUAUGAAAGCUCCGGCUCAACCCGGAGACGCCAUUCGAUACUGCCAUGACUAGAGUCCGGUAGGGGGGUGUGGAAUUCCCAGUGUAGCGGUGAAAUGCGCAGAUAUUGGGAGGAACACCAAAUGGCGAAGGCAGCACCCUGG
rnacentral:rRNA from 1 species